rnacentral:rRNA from 1 species
UACGAAGGGGGCUAGCGUUGCUCGGAAUCACUGGGCGUAAAGGGUGCGUAGGCGGGUCUUUAAGUCAGGGGUGAAAUCCUGGAGCUCAACUCCAGAACUGCCUUUGAUACUGAAGAUCUUGAGUUCGGGAGAGGGGAGUGGAACUGCGAGUGUAGAGGUGAAAUUCGUAGAUAUUCGCAAGAACACCAGUGGCGAAGGCGGCUCACUGGCCCGAUACUGACGCUGAGGAGCGAAAGCGUGGGGAGCGAACAGG